rnacentral:sRNA from 1 species
AUAUCUCUCUGUACGGGAAGGAUGAGAAGCUUCGACUAAGGUUCGAUUCGAGCGCAGCGAGAAAGCGUUGCCGUA